AGUGAACGCUGGCGGUAGGCCUAACACAUGCAAGUCGAACGGCAGCACAGUAAGAGCUUGCUCUUACGGGUGGCGAGUGGCGGACGGGUGAGGCAUACAUCGGAAUCUACUUUUUCGUGGGGGAUAACGUAGGGAAACUUACGCUAAUACCGCAUACGACCUACGGGUGAAAGCAGGGGAUAUUCGGACCUUUCCCGAUUUAAUGAGCCGAUGUCGGAUUAGCUAGUUGGCGGGGUAAAGGCCCACCAAGGCGGCGAUCCGUAGCUGGUCUGAGAGGAUGAUGAGCCACACUGGAACUGAGACACGGUCCAGACUCCUACGGGAGGCACCAGUGGGGAAUAUUGGACAAUGGGCGCAGGCCUGAUCCAGCCAUACCGCGUGGGUGAAGAAGGCCUUCGGGUUGUAAAGCCCUUUUGUUGGGAAAGAAAAGCAGCAGGUUAAUACCCCGCUGUUCUGACGGUACCCAACGAAUAAGCACCGGCUAACUUCGUG
rnacentral:rRNA from 1 species